rnacentral:rRNA from 1 species
UACGGGAGGCAGCAGGUGGGGAAUAUUGCACAAUGGGCGAAAGCCUGAUGCAGCUAUGCCGCGUGUAUGAAGAAGGCCUUAGGGUUGUAAAGUACUUUCAUCGGGGAGGAAAAAACAAAACUAAUAAUUUUAUUUCUUGACGUUACCCGAAAAAGAAGCACCGGCUAACUCCGUGCCAGCAGCCGCGGUAAUACGGAGGGUGCUAGCGUUAAUCAGAAUUACUGGGCGUAAAGAGCACGUAGGUGGUUUUUUAAGUCAGAUGUGAAAUCCCUGGGCUUAACCUAGGAACUGCAUUUUGAAACUGAAAUACUAGAGUAUCGUAGAGGGAGGUAGAAUUCUAGGUGUAGCGGUGAAAUGCGUAGAUAUCUGGAGGAAUACCUGUGGCGAAAGCGGCCUCCUAAACGAAUACUGACACUGAGGUGCGAAAGCGUGGGGAGCAAAACAGGGAUUAGAUACC